rnacentral:tRNA from 1 species
GAGGGUAUAACUCAGGGGUAGAGUGCAUGCUUUAGCAUUCAUGAAGUCCUGGGUUCAAUCCCCAGUCCCUCC